rnacentral:rRNA from 1 species
GACGAACGCUGGCGGCGUGCUUAACACAUGCAAGUCGAACGGAAAGGCCCUGCUUUUGUGGGGUGCUCGAGUGGCGAACGGGUGAGUAACACGUGAGUAACCUGCCCUUGACUUUGGGAUAACUUCAGGAAACUGGGGCUAAUACCGGAUAGGAGCUCCUGCUGCAUGGUGGGGGUUGGAAAGUUUCGGCGGUUGGGGAUGGACUCGCGGCUUAUCAGCUUGUUGGUGGGGUAGUGGCUUACCAAGGCUUUGACGGGUAGCCGGCCUGAGAGGGUGACCGGCCACAUUGGUACUGAGAUACGGCCCAGACUCCUACGGGAGGCAGCAGUGGGGAAUAUUGCACAGUGGGCGGAAGCCUGAUGCAGCAACGCCGCGUGCGGGAUGACGGCCUUCGGGUUGUAAACCGCUUUCGCCUGUGACGAAGCGUGAGUGACGGUAAUGGGUAAAGAAGCACCGGCUAACUACGUG